rnacentral:rRNA from 1 species
CCCUUAGAUGUCCUGGGCUGCACGCGCGCUACACUGAUGUGUCCAGUAAGCACCUAACCUAUUCCGAGAGGAGCGGGUAACCUUAGCAAAGCACAUCGUGAUGGGGAUAGAUUAUUGCAAUUAUUAGUCUUGAACGAGGAAUUCCUAGUAAGCACAAGUCAUCAGCUUGUGUUGAUUACGUCCCUGCCCUUUGUACACACCGCCCGUCGCUCCUACCGAUUGAAUGUUCCGGUGAGCUCUUCGGACUGCGCGGUCUGCAGUUUCUGCGUUCCAUGCGGAAAGUUGUGCAAACCUUAACAUUUAGAGGAAGGAGAAGUCGUAACA